CUUUCUCCGCCGGCGACCGGCGCGCGGGUGAGUAACACGUAUGCAACCUGCCCCUGUCAGGGGGACAACCGCCGAAAGGCGGGCUAAACCCGCGUACAUGCCACCGGGGCAUCCCGGAGGCAGGAAAGGCUUCGGCCGGACAGGGAUGGGCAUGCGGCGCAUUAGGCAGUAGGCGGGGUAACGGCCCACCUAACCGACGAUGCGUAGGGGUUCUGAGAGGAAGGUCCCCCACACUGGUACUGAGACACGGACCAGACUCCUACGGAAGGCAGCAG
rnacentral:rRNA from 1 species